rnacentral:rRNA from 1 species
GAUGAACGCUGGCGGCAGGCUUAAUACAUGCAAGUCGUGGGGCAGCAUGAGUGUAGCAAUACAUUUGAUGGCGACCGGCAAACGGGUGCGGAACACGUACACAACCUUCCUUCAAGUGGGGAAUAGCCCAGGGAAACUUGGAUUAAUACCCCGUAAUAUUAUGGAGUGGCAUCACUUUAUAAUUAUAGCUCCGCGCUUGAUGAUGGGUGUGCGCCUGANAGGUAGUUGGCGGGGUAACGGCCCACCAAGCCUUCCGAUCAGUAACUGGUGUGAGAGCACGACCAGUCACACGGGCACUGAGACACGGGCCCGACUCCUACGGGAGGCAGCAGUAAGGAAUAUUGGUCAAUGGACGCAAGUCUGAACCAGCCAUGCCGCGUGAAGGAUGAAGGU